rnacentral:rRNA from 1 species
AUUGAACGCUGGCGGCAGGCUUAACACAUGCAAGUCGAACGAGCGGCGGACGGGUGAGUAAUGUCUGGGAAACUGCCUGAUGGAGGGGGAUAACUACUGGAAACGGUAGCUAAUCCCGCAUACCAUCGGAUUUGCCCAGCUGGGAUUAGCUAGUAGGUGGGGUAAUGGCGCACCUAGGCGACGAUCCCUAGCGGGUCUGAGAGGAUGACCAGCCACAGUGGAACUGAGACACGGUCCAGACUCCUACGGGAGGCAGCAGUGGGGAAUAUUGCACAAUGGGCGCAAGCCUGAUGCAGCCAUGCCGCGUGUGUGAAGAAGGCCUUCGGGUUGUAAAGCACUUUCAGCGAGGAGGCGUUACUCGCAGAAGAAGCACCGGCUAACUCCGUGCCAGCAGCCGCGGUAAUUC